CCUUGCUUUCCCCGCCCAGACCUAGGCCGGCGCUGCCGGAACCUAAGAUGGUGGGGGACGCAGUAGGCAAGGCCGGCUCUGGGCCGGGCCUCGGUGACAAGACGGGGCGGGGGCGGGGCCAACGCCCGCGCCCCGGCCCCUCCGGGCCAGCGCGGCCCCAGGGCCUGGGCUGUGGGCCCGAGCGCUCCUCCUUGCAGAGUCGCCAGCACCUCAGCUGUGGCAGGCAUCGUGAGGCCCACGGCUCGGGGUCCGGCUGUGAAUGAUGAGGACGAGAACACGGACAGCACCCCGCUCCUGCACGGCGCCUGGAAGCCGAAGCCGGCGUCCUCAGGUGAGGAGAAACUCUACAUGGGAGACGGUGUCCCUCUCUCCCUUGCUCUCCUGCCCCUGCCACCUGUGGCUAAGGUCAUGGGGAAGACAGUGUGCUACUCUGCGCGUUACAACUUAGCAAUUUCAUCAUUUUUUGGUUUCUUCGUUCUCUAUGCAUUACGUGUGAAUCUGAGCAUUGGAUUAGAGGAUAUGGUAGAUUCAAAUACAACUUCCAUGGAUAAGAGAACUUCCAAGGAGUGUGCAGAGCACUCGUCUUCAUAAUCAAACGGGUAAAAGGUAUCACUGGGAAUGCAGGAACUUGAGGAUGGAUACUUUGUUCUUUUUCUUAUGGCUACAUCAUCACACAGAUCCCUGGAGGAUAUAUGGCCAGCAAAGUAGGUGGGAAACUGCUCCUUGGGUUUGGGAUCCUCGGCACUGCUGUCUUCACCCUGUUCAUGCCCAUUGCUGCAGAUCUGGGAGUCAUAGCUCUCAUUGUACUUACAGCACUGGAAGGACUAGGAGAGGAGCACAGCUUGGAACAGUAAUUUCACUUCCUCUUUCUGGACUCAUUUGCUACUACGUGAAUUGGACUUAUGUCUUCUACUUUUUUGGUAUAAUUGGAAUACUUUGGUUUAUUUUAUGGAUCUGGCUGGUUAGUGAUACACCAGAAACUCACAAAACAAUCUCCCAUUAUGAAAAACGAUACAUUCUUUCAUCAUUAAAAAAUCAGCUUUCUUCCCAGAAGUCAGUACCACGGAAACCUAUUUUAAAAUCAUUGCCACCUUGGGCUAUAGAGGUUGCACAUUUUUCUUACAACUGGACUUUUUAUACUUUAUUGACAUUAUUGCCUACUUACAUGAAGGAUAUCCUAAGAUUCAAUGUUCAAGAGAAUGGGUUUGUAUCUGCAUUGCCUUAUUUUGGCUGUUGGUUAUGUAUGAUCCUGUCUGGUAAAGCAGCUGACAAUUUAAGGGUAAAAUGGAAUUUUUCAGCUCUAAGUGUAUGCAGAAUUUUUACCAUUAUAGGCAUGAUUGGACCUGCGAUAUUCCUGGUAGCCGCUAGAUUUAUAGGCUGUGAUUAUCCUUUGGCUGUUGCAUUCCUAACCAUAUCGACAACUUUUGCUCUUCUGGAUUUAGCAUCAACCAUCUGGAUAUUGCUCCUUUUUCCAGUGACAAGUCUGGUGGUGCCUGACAUUCAAUCAGUGGGGGACAAAUGACUGAGACUGAGCAAAUGAAUCCAUGAAUGCAUUAUGACCCUGCAAAGCUAUACUGAAAAUAAUUUGCCUGUGUGCCACCAGAGAACUUCAGGAACAUGGGAGGCGUGGGACAUUAGGAGAUAAUGAGGUUGCAAAGGUGGAACCCUCAAUCAAUGGGAUGAGAGAAAUGAUUCUUGACCAUGUGAGAAUACAAUAAAAAGAGACACCUGAACCCACGGUGAGGACCCUCACAGACACCAGAUCUGCUGGCACCUUGAUCUUGGAUGUCUCAGCCACCUGAACUGUGAGAAAUAGGUACUCACUUUUCUUAGAGCUAAGUAAGUGGGUGAUAAAGUCUUACAAUGGUUGAUUUUAUGUUUUACUGAAUGAAAUUGAAUACCUUUUCAUAUAUUUAUCCUUUUGAGGAGUUUUUUGCAGGGUCCUCUAUUUUUCUUACUUUAUACACACACACACACACACACACACACACACACACAUAUGCUGGGCAUGAGCCUUCUGUUCAUCAAAUGAACAAAAAUAAUGCAACUAUAUUCUCUGUUCUGUGGCUCACCUUUUUCAUUUUAUUUUAUCACUUGAAGAUUUUAAAGAAUUUUAAUGCCUUUCAAUUAGUCAAUUUUCCCUUUAUGGUUGGUGCUUUUAGCAUGCUGUUUAAUAAAAUUUUUUCCCAGUUAGAUGGCUCCAUUUUUCUUCUAGAAACUAUUGUUUUACCUUUUGCAUUUAAGUCAUAAUUUACUUGAAGAUUAUUUUAACUUAAAUUUUAUAUUGAGAUAAUUGUAGAUUUAUGUGUAGUUGUAAGAAAUAAUACAGAUCUAUUGCAAAAAUUUCACACAAUGUCAACCUUUUGAAGAACUGUAGUAAAAUAUCACAGUCAGAAUAUUGAUAUCAGUAUAAUCCAUUGACCUUAUUUUCACGUUUCAUUUGCAUUCAUUUAUGUGGUGUGUGUGUGUGUGUGUGUGUGCACACGUACUCAUUUAGACCUGUGUGCUUUUUCAUCUGUAUAGGUGUUUGUUCCCAUCACCAUUGUCAAGAUACUGUCUAAUUCUAGUACUACAAAGAUUCCUCACUUUCCUCUUUGAUAAAUACCCACCCAAGCCAAAUGGAUUUUUGUAUAUAAUAUGUUGUAGAAUCUCCUUUCUUUUUCUUGUUUUCUUUUUAAAAUUAUAUAUAGUCAAUUCCCUAACAUCAUUUCUUGCACUACUUCACCUACCACCUUUGCUUAAACCAACUCUUCAUGUAUGCAUGUUAGUCUUGAUGAUUUGUUUCAUGUGUCUUUUUUGUCAACUGCAUGUGUGAGGCCCUGGGAUGAUCACCUGAACAACAAGAAAAUAAACAAAAGGACUGAAUCAGGAUGGCACACAACCUAUUUUUCUUGUGAAGAUAACUAAAAUAACCCAUUGCAGAUAAUCAUUAUCUUGACAAGAAAUGAAAAGAAGUGAUUGAUUACAUAAUGUUCUUAACUUCUCUCAAUACGGCCACACAAUGAUCACGAUACCAGCCAUGGUGUAGGUACACUGUAGGCAACUUUUUUUUACUCAAGUCAAAUCAACCUUUUAAAGAAUCAAGUGAAUAAAUCAAUCUAGGAUGAAACUCAAGGAAUUUUUUAACUGAAGUUGCAACCAUUGUUAAUUCCACCCCACUGCACCACUCCCCCUGCUGCUUAGGAGUGGUGCUACAAGAAACAAGACAGCCUCUGUCCAGCACUGUGUAACUCACAUCACCUCUCUGUGCCUCUGUUUCCUCAUCCAUGAAGUAGAAAUGGUCCUAGUAGAGUUGUGAGGAUUGACAUUUGAUUAUAUCACGUUCCUACAAAUUUGCAAAGCACUUACAGCAGUGGUGCACAUGAUAAGCACUGUGUGGAUGCUAGAUAUUAUUACCCUUGUGUUAUCUGGGCUCUUUGGUGCCUUCCCAGUGUGCUGUCACCCACUGCACAUCUUUGGCUGUGAAGACAGGCAUUGACCUUUUUCUCUCCACCUCCUCCCAUGAAUGGAACACUUCUUUUCCUCUUCUGAGGGGUGCCCACCUGUGCCCCUUUCCCCAGGAUGCACUUGCUAUGACUUCCUUGAAGUUAUUACACCUCCACCUGGGCCGAUGGACUACUCAGAGCUGAAAGAGCACUUUUUUCACCCAACCAUGAAGCAAAGUUCCAAAUAUACUCUCCCGCUUCCUGCCCAGGGUGAACUUGCUGCUCUCCCAGGCUCCCCUAAAAAAGUAAGAGGACAGGCUGGCUGGUGGAGUGACUCAAGUGGUAGAGUGCCUGCCUAGCAAACAUUAAGCCCUGAGUUCAAACCCUGGUACCACCAAAAAAAAAAAAAAAA